rnacentral:misc_RNA from 1 species
ACCGUUGUGAAUUGAUCGAAUGGCGCACGCACGGCUCAGCUGUACACCCGAAUAAUGCGCCUUUCUCUCAAAGAUUUCUCUCGUUCGGAUGACAGCGGUUGCCAGCGACAGGACGUAGGGUGACAUCGGGAUGAGAAAGCAUGGAACAUCCAUCAGGAGUCGCAGUUAUACUUCACUCGAGUCAAUGUUGCAUUUAGUUGCUUGCGCUUCAAUAGUUUUUAAUGUGACAGAAACGAUACGUUAUUGAGGCACAGUAAUCCAAGCUCCUUUAAGGAGAGAUGGAUGUGGUGUGUGAUGAGGACAGGCGGAGACGCCUGCGAGCUUUGGAGGAGCGUAUAAGGGAUCCGCGAAGCGUCACUAAUAUCGACUGUCUGUUGGAUACGGUUCAAGCUCUAGUAACAGAUUGCGAUCACGCGAGCGUGAAACGCAUGAAAAAUAUAGAAGCUUAUAUGAAUAGAUAUGACACUGUGGCUCAAGAAAUUUAUCAAAUGCGAAUGCGCACAGACGAUUUUACUUUGAUCAAAGUAAUUGGUCGUGGCGCAUUUGGAGAGGUACAGUUGGUUAGACACAAAUCUACACAAAGAGUUUACGCUAUGAAAUUACUUAGUAAAUUUGAAAUGAUUAAACGAUCAGAUUCCGCAUUUUUUUGGGAAGAGAGGGACAUAAUGGCUCACGCCAAUUCACCAUGGAUAGUUCAGCUCCACUUUGCGUUUCAAGACCAAAAAUAUCUUUACAUGGUGAUGGAUUACAUGCCAGGUGGAGAUCUGGUCAACUUGAUGUCAAAUUAUGAAGUGCCGGAGAAAUGGGCAAAAUUUUACUGCGCCGAGGUGGUAUUGGCAUUGGAUGCGAUACAUAAUAUGGGUUUUGUUCAUAGAGAUGUAAAACCAGACAACAUGUUGCUCGAUAAGCAUGGCCAUUUGAAGCUUGCUGAUUUUGGUACAUGUAUGAGGAUGGAUUCUGAUGGCUUAGUACGGUCUGAUACCGCGGUUGGUACCCCUGAUUACAUAUCUCCGGAAGUUCUGCAAUCACAAGGUGGAGAAGGAGUAUACGGUCGCGAAUGCGAUUUUUGGUCCGUCGGUGUCUUUCUCUACGAGAUGUUGUUUGGCGAUACACCGUUUUUCGCCGACUCUUUAGUCGGCACGUAUUCUAAGAUCAUGGACCAUAGAAAUUCGCUCUAUUUUCCUCAGAACGUAGAGAUAUCUCAUUUGGCGAAGAACUUGAUAUGCGGCUUCCUUACCGACAGGACGAAGCGUCUGGGUCGCAAUGGCGUUGACGAGAUCAAAAACCAUGCGUUCUUCAAAAAUGAUCAAUGGACUUUCGACAAUCUAAGGGAGUGCGUACCACCGGUAGUGCCCGAGCUCUCCGGGGACGAUGACACCAGUAAUUUUGAUGAUGUCGACAAGGAAGACGGGCCAGAGGAGAGUUUUCCAAUACCUAAAGCUUUCUCUGGAAAUCAUUUACCUUUUAUCGGAUUCACUUACUCGGGUGAUUACCAGUUAAUGGUCUCUUAUGGCAAGGAAUCCGUCGAUGGUCUCGAGAAUCAUGUUAACAAUGGCACUACCGAUGAUAUCAAGAUCUCGCAGUUGGAGAAUUUACUAGAACGAGAGAGGCGACAAGUAGAGACGUUGGAGUCGAGGCAGAAGGUAUUAAACACGCAAUUGGAAACGAUGGCGUGUCAAGAGGCCGAGCUACGGGAAGAAGUUAGCAGAGCAGAUAAGGAACUGACUCUGCUCAGGCACAACUACAAGGAGGCGCAACGCAGAGUGGAGCACGAGACGGAGACUCGUCGUAAGGCGGAAUCGCUGCUGGUAGAGGUGAAGAAAAAGUUUGAUGAGGAACAAACGAGGCGGGCGCGAGACGCUAGUAACUCGCAGCAGACGUCCGAGCGAGUGACGACAUUAGAGAAACAGAUUAAAGAGAUGCAAUGUAAACUGGAGAGAGAAACGGAAACGGUUACACGAUUACGCAAGCAAGCAACGGAGAUCACUGUGGCGCGUCAAGCUGCCGAGCAAAUGGCAAACGAGUUGCAAGUUGCCAGAGCUCAACUGCAAGCGCAGCGUGAUAACUUGCAGCAAGAAGUUGCUACUCUCCAGGGUCAGCUUUCCAAGGAACGUAGUUCGAGAUCACAAGCAUCACUGUUGACGGCUGAAUUGGAGACUCGGCUUUCCACCCUGCAUCUUGAAUUAGAACGAAGCCACGAGAAGGAGGAGAAGGCGACCUUGGAUAAUAGGCAAUUAACUGAAAGAGUUUCCGCGUUGGAGAAAGAAGCUGCUAGUUUAACCUUGGAAUUGAAAGCCGCACAAGCCAGAUACAAUCAAGAAGUUAUGGCACACCAAGAAACGGAGCGUUCGCGCAUUAUUUCCAAGGAGGAAGCCAAUCUGGAAGUUGUCAAAGAACAAAAGAAUGGAAUUUUCGAAGCACUGCAAGCAAAAUUAACUGAGGAGAAAAGUGGAAGACAACGUGCGGAAUUACUUGCGCAGGAAAAAGAACGUCAAACAUCGAUGCUGUCUGUCGAUUACAGACAGAUACAGCAACGAUUACAGAAAUUAGAGGGUGAACAUAGACAAGAGAUGGAGAAAGUCAAGGUUCUGCAAGGCCAAAUUGAGCAGGAGCAACAAAAAAGAAACGUUCUACAGACCGAAUUAGGUCAACAAACGUCCGAAGCUGGCAGGCUUCGCGCUCGCGAGCAACAAUUAGUCGGAGAGGUUGCUCAGCUUAGGGAAGCUAAACGGCAAAUAGAAGAGGAAUUGCAUCAUUUGAAAACACAAAGAAAUGUCGAUCAGUUACAGACGAAAGAAUUGCAGGAGCAAUUGGAAGCCGAAGCUUAUUUCUCGACUCUGUACAAAACGCAGACGCAAGAAUUGCGCGAAGAGUUAGACGAGAAAAUAAGGUCGCAACAAGAAUUGGAAGAAGAACGUAGCUCUCUGGUCCAUCAACUGCAGUUGUCGUUGGCGCGCGGGGACAGUGAAGCUCUGGCCAGAUCCAUAGCCGAGGAGACUGUGGCGGACUUGGAGAAAGAAAGAACUAUGAAAGAGUUAGAAUACAAAGAUGGAUUGACCAAGCAUCACCAGGAACUAAGCGCGAAGGAACAGAUCAUAAAUAGACUUAGGGAGAAUGAGAGUGAAUUCAAAAAAUCAGUUGAUCAGGCUCUGAAAGAAAAAGAAGAUUUGAGCAAACGGUAUAAAGAAUUGCAGGAACAACUCGGUAAAGCGCAGUUCAAUGCGGAGGAAAUUGAGAAGUUGAGCAGCAAGCUCAAAACCGAGCAACUGUUGAAGCAACAGGCGGUCAACAAGUUGGCUGAGAUUAUGAAUCGAAAAGAUCUUUCGUUGAGCGGGAAGAAUAAGAAUAAGGCGUCCGCUGCAGAUUUGAGAAAGAAGGAGAAAGAUUGCAGACGCCUACAGCAAGAACUCACUCAAGAGAGGGAGAAGUAUGGACAGCUGGCAGCUAAAUGGCAGAAAGAUUUGCAGGAUUUGCAAGCACAACUUGUGGAGGAGAAUCAAGCCAAGUUGAGACUGCAGAUGGAACUCGACUCGAAAGAUUCGGAGAUAGAAACGUUACAGAUGAAAAUUGCGUCGCUUAAUUCGGAAACUGCAAGCGUAUCGUCUAUAGAGAAUGACGACGGUGAGGACUCAGUUUUGUCCGAGCACAGUGCGAUGAGAUUAGAGGGUUGGUUAAAUGUGCCAAAUAAGCAGAACAUUAAGCGGCACGGUUGGAAGAAGCAAUAUGUCGUUGUUUCCUCCAAGAAGAUUAUUUUCUAUAAUAGUGAAAAUGACAAAAUGAACGCCGAUCCAGUCCUGAUAUUAGACUUGAAUAAAGUCUUCCACGUUAGAUCUGUUACUCAGGGUGAUGUUAUCCGAGCCAAUGCCAAAGAUAUACCCAGAAUAUUUCAGUUACUCUAUGCUGGUGAAGGAGAAGCAAGACGACCUGGUGAUGAGGGGAAUACACUGCCUGGAGUGGAUUUACCACAGCUCGCGGACAAACCUGGCACUCAGUCGCUCAAGGGCCAUGAAUUUGUUUCGAUAUCUUAUCACAUGCCGACAACCUGCGAAGUCUGUUCGAAGCAAUUGUGGCACAUGUUUCGACCUUCGCCGGCCCUCGAAUGUCGAAGGUGCCGUAUUAAGGUUCACAAGGAACACUUGGAUAAGAAAGAAGAUGCCAUAGCUCCGUGUAAACUGCAUUAUGAUCCGAACAGCGCCCGUGAGCUAUUGUUGCUCGCGCCGAAUCCCGAGGAACAAAAGUAUUGGGUCUCAAGGUUAUCCAGGCGCGUCCAGAAAUGCGGCUACAAGGCCAACUCGCACGUAGACGGCACGGGACAGCGCGUUUCACCAAGGUAGCGUAGCCGUGCUGCUGCUCGACGUGAGCGGGGACUAAGUAGCUCUCUUAUUUUGUGACGUCGCAUGAUAUGGGUGUAGAGAGGGAAUCCACAAGGUCAACCUUGAAGCCAUACUUAUCCGUGCAGCAACGAUCUGCAACGUUGCCAGCGAACGCCAGUAUGGGCAAGUGAUUCUGAAAGAUGCUGGUGAUACUGACGAUUCUAGAAAAAUUACUCCGCUUAUGAUCCGAUGUCCUGUUUCCUUCGAUGAUGAUGUCAGUAAGGAUAUCAAGAAUCGUAACAAACUAUCACGACUUCGCGAUUUUCUCUGCCCACCUGACGACUGAAGUAGACUGUCAAUAAUUUCCUAAAUCGAAAGUAAUCGAAAUAGCGAUUGCGAUCAUAUUAAUGUUACUAUUCGCAGCUAAGAGUAAAUGAAAUUCAAGUUGGAGAAUCGCUGGAAAAAACAGGGUUACUUAUAUACUGGGUAAUAGAUGGAUAUGGCAUGAUAUGAAAAGGAGUAUAGAGAGGUAGGACGCCGUGUCCAUGAUCUCUUUACGCGCCAUGUCAUUCUCGAAAUAAUGAUAAUAUGGAAUCAGAGAUACGCUUCGUUCUUUGAAAUUGCUGUUUUAUCGUGAGAGCGAUGAUAUAUAAUAAUCUUUUUGUACGUUGUUCAUGAUACUCAUGAUAGACAGAAGAACAUUUUCUCGAAGAAUGACCGAAUUUUUGCGGUGAUUUUCCUGAUUGGGACUAUACUCUCUCUCGACUUUGUACGCACAUUUCUUACUGCCUUUGAUAAUGUUUAACGAUGAAUCUUGCUGGAGACUUUUAGCUUAAGGCAUUUUUUGAAUGCUUUAAACCGAAAUUUCGGAAACUUAUAGUAAAGAGUAUAGUAUUUUGAAAUUGUUUUUUAUGUAUACAUAUAUAGUAUGUUCUCCAAAAACGUGUGUCGACAGAUACAUACAGGAUACAUACAGAAAUCUUGCUUUAACGUGACUUUCGUCUUAGAGCGGAUUUAUUUAACGUUUGAUAUUUGAGAUGCUUCUAUGAGCAAAGUUGUGUUUUUUAGAAGAUGUAAAUAACAACACGCGUCCGAGGAUCAACGUUUUUAUUCAAGUUUGGCAUGUAAGUCGAUUUCACGGAUAUUGCGAGGAAGAAGCAAUAUUGAUCAGUGUAUAGCGCGUGUAAAGAGUAUACGAGCACAGUGGCGAUUGCCAAUUUGUAUAAUAGUAUGAUAAUGAUUGCGGUUGUAAGUUAAGAAUUUUUAUUACCAUGAUACGAGUUAAUGACGUCCGCUAUAUCCCUGAUAGAGAUAGGAGAGAAAAGAGAAAGAAAAUGCUAAAAGAGAACCAACUAAGAAAAUCGUGCAUAACCGAGCUUAAAAGCUUUGUCAUGAUGCCAUAUGGCUUAGUGGCAUCUUUGGCAACGAAAGAAGCUAUAAACAAAAAAUGAGUGGAAAUUUAGAAACGACUUUAGGAAUUAUCUUGGGUUUACUCUUAACACGCCAUUGCCAUCCGUGUUCUUUUCAAAAUACCUCUACGAGGCUUUGUGCCGUACCAAGACUCGAAACGAAGAGAGCCGCAUCGAGAGCUUACAUCAUCAUUAAGUAACUAUGGUUAACAAUAACUGGUAGAUUCUCCUUCUCCACAAAUUGAAUUUACAAACAUUAAUUGCAAUUUAACAAAUAAUUAUUCCUUUGAAUAAUGAAUAAUUAUUCCUUCUUCUCUUCUAAAGAUAGAAUUUAGAGAAAGAGUUGUGUUUAUAUUUCUAGAGAGAUCUAGAAAGUUUUGCUUUCUUUCCAGAAAGAAUAUUUUAGUUAAUUUUGAUUUAUGACUGAUAACGAGAAAGAGUUGAAAAUCAGUAGCUGGACUUGAGGAAACAAGAAAGGAAAUAAGAGCAAUAGAAAUAAGUUAUACAAAGUUCAAUAUCUAUUACAAACUUAGACUAAUUAAACUCCUUUUCUCCAUCUAUGUUAUAGCUAGAAUAAAUGGAGAAUGGAGAAUGGAGAAUUGCUAAUCCCUCCUUCUUCGAAGUUAGUUAACUAAAAAAUUGUCGAUGUAAGUGGCUUCAAAAACUCAACGAGUAACACAUCCUUCAAAUGGUGCUCUUCCCUAUCCUAUCCAUUCUUUUGGUUUGACGAAGCAGUGAGAAUAAGUAAGAAGUUAUCGGAAACUUCUCGUCCUCGCGGUAAUAAUCGUAAUUAAAAAAAAAACGCAUGGAAGAGGGAAAAGGUGCAUAUUAAAAUCGAAAAAAUACAUCCAAUAUAUUGCCCCGUGCCUUCUUCAUUGUUUCAGUCUUCAAUGAGGGACUGAAGUAGAAGACAAUUGACAAUGAGAAGAGAAAGAAUAUGACAACGAGAAUGAAAGAAUGAAUGUGAGAAAAUGUGUGUGUUUUGUGUGUUUGUAUAAGGGGAGAAAGGAGAGAAGAACUUGUUACAGGAUAUUUUAUUAUUGUUUAGUUAUUUACAAUCUGUAUAUUAUUAAUUAAUAUUACGAUUAAAAGUAUUUUGUAGAUAA